rnacentral:tRNA from 1 species
GGUAGCGUGGCCGAGAGUCUAAGGUGCUGCAAUUAGAUUCCAGUCUCUUCGGGGCCGUGGGUUCGAAUCCCACCACUGCCA